CCGGCCAUCCUUUAAUUUAUUUAUUUCUACGUUGAGGACACUUUAUAAACCUACAGAGAUACCGGACCAACGAACGACCUUCACAACGGGACGGAGCUAACGUAAUUAACGUUAACGGUUACUUUGAAAUUCAAACAGUAACGGUCAUCUGACAACUGCGCUGAGCCAAAGGACGGGAACAGCAACAAGAGUUUAACUUCUGAUUUGUAAUCUACACACUCCACUGGGCAGUUCAUGAAGACAGAUAGAUGUUGUGCCGACCAGGACAGUUCCUUCCUACCACAC